UACGUAGGGGGCAAGCGUUGUCCGGAUUUAUUGGGCGUAAAGAGCGUGUAGGCGGCCAGGUAGGUCUGCUGUGAAAACUCGAGGCUCAACCUCGAGAUGUCGGCGGAAACCAUCUGGCUAGAGUCCGGAAGAGGAGAGUGGAAUUCCUGGUGUAGCGGUGAAAUGCGCAGAUAUCGGGAAGAACACCUAUGGCGAAGGCAGCUCUCUGGGACGGUACUGACGCUGAGACGCGAAAGCGUGGGGAGCGAACAGG
rnacentral:rRNA from 1 species